AGCAGCCGCGGUAAUUCCAGCUCCAAUAGCGUAUAUUAAAGUUGUUGCAGUUAAAAAGCUCGUAGUUGAAUUUCGGGGUCAGUAGGUUGGUCAUGCCUCCGGUAUGUACUGGUCUCACUGAUUCCUCCUUCCUGAUGAGCCGUAAUGCCAUUAAUUUGGUGUUGCGGGGAAUCUGGACUGUUACUUUGAAAAAAUUAGAGUGUUUAAAGCAAGCUAACGCUUGAAUACAUUAGCAUGGAAUAAUGGAAUAGGACGUUCGAUCCUAUUUUGUUGGUUUCUAGGAUUGACGUAAUGAUUAAUAGGGAUAGUUGGGGGCAUUAGUAUUCAACUGCCAGAGGUGAAAUUCUUGGAUUUAUUGAAGACUAACUACUGCGAAAGCAUUUGCCAAGGAUGUUUUCAUUAAUCAAGAACGAAAGUUAGGGGAUCGAAGACGAUCAGAUACCGUCGUAGUCUUAACCAUAAACUAUGCCGACUAGGGAUCGGAUGAUGUUAAUUUUUUAAUGACUCAUUCGGCGCCUUACG
rnacentral:rRNA from 1 species